UACGAAGGGGGCGAGCGUUGUUCGGAAUCACUGGGCGUAAAGGGCGCGUAGGCGGCCCUCCUAGUCGCGUGUGAAAGCCCCGGGCUCAACCUGGGAACGGCGCGCGAAACGGGGGGGGCUGGAGUUCGGGAGAGGAGCGUGGAAUUCCCAGUGUAGAGGUGAAAUUCGUAGAUAUUGGGAAGAACACCGGAGCGAGCGAG
rnacentral:rRNA from 1 species